CAGAUCCUUCCGGGAGCCACAGUGGGAAUAUUCCCAAUGGCCGAAACCUGAUGCAACGGCCCCGCGUGAGGGAUGCGGCCUUCGGGUUGUAACCUCUUUCAAGUAGGAAGAAGCGAAAGUGACGGUACCUGCAGAAGAAGCGCCGGCUAACUACGUGCCAGCAGCCGCGGUAAUACGUAGGGCGCAAGCGUUAUCCGGAUUUAUUGGGCGUAAAGAGCUCGUAGGCGGUUUGUCGCGUCUGCCGUGAAAGUCCGAGGCUCAACCUCGGAUCUGCGGUGGGUACGGGCAGACUAGAGUGAUGUAGGGGAGACUGGAAUUCCUGGUGUAGCGGUGAAAUGCGCAGAUAUCAGGAGGAACACCGAUGGCGAAGGCAGGUCUCUGGGCAUUUACUGACGCUGAGGAGCGAAAGCAUGGGGAGCGAACAGGAUUAGAUACCCUGGUAGUCCAUGCCGUAAACGUUGGGCACUAGGUGUGGGGGACAUUCCACGUUUUCCGCGCCGUAGCUAACGCAUUAAGUGCCCCGCCUGGGGAGUACGGCCGCAAGGCUAAAACUCAAAGGAAUUGACGGGGGCCCGCACAAGCGGCGGAGCAUGCGGAUUAAUUCGAUGCAACGCGAAGAACCUUACCAAGGCUUGACAUGUUCCAGACCGGGCUAGAGAUAGUCCUUCCCUUCGGGGCUGGUUCACAGGUGGUGCAUGGUUGUCGUCAGCUCGUGUCGUGAGAUGUUGGGUUAAGUCCCGCAACGAGCGCAACCCUCGUUCCAUGUUGCCAGCACGUAGUGGUGGGGACUCAUGGGAGACUGCCGGGGUCAACUCGGAGGAAGGUGGGGAUGACGUCAAAUCAUCAUGCCCCUUAUGUCUUGGGCUUCACGCAUGCUACAAUGGCCGGUACAAUGGGUUGCGAUACUGUGAGGUGGAGCUAAUCCCUAAAAGCCGGUCUCAGUUCGGAUUGGGGUCUGCAACUCGACCCCAUGAAGUCGGAGUCGCUAGUAAUCGCAGAUCAGCAACGCUGCGGUGAAUACGUUCCCGGGCCUUGUACACACCGCCCGUCAAGUCACGAAAGUUGGUAACACCCGAAGCCGAUGGCCUAACCACCUUGUGUGGGGGGAGUCGUCGAAGUGACGAGU
rnacentral:rRNA from 1 species